GUCGAACGAUGAUCCCGGUGCUUGCACCGGGGGAUUAGUGGCGAACGGGUGAGUAACACGUGAGUAACCUGCCCCCGACUCUGGGAUAAGCCCGGGAAACUGGGUCUAAUACCGGAUAUUCACUUCCUUCCGCAUGGGAGGUGGUGGAAAGAUUUAUCGGUGGGGGAUGGACUCGCGGCCUAUCAGCUUGUUGGUGGGGUAAUGGCCCACCAAGGCGACGACGGGUAGCCGGCCUGAGAGGGUGACCGGCCACACUGGGACUGAGACACGGCCCAGACUCCUACGGGAGGCAGCAGUGGGGAAUAUUGCACAAUGGGCGAAAGCCUGAUGCAGCGACGCCGCGUGAGGGAUGACGGCCUUCGGGUUGUAAACCUCUUUCAGUAGGGAAGAAGCGAAAGUGACGGUACCUGCAGAAGAAGCGCCGGCUAACUACGUGCCAGCAGCCGCGGUAAUACGUAGGGCGCAAGCGUUAUCCGGAAUUAUUGGGCGUAAAGAGCUCGUAGGCGGUUUGUCGCGUCUGCCGUGAAAGUCCGGGGCUCAACCCCGGAUCUGCGGUGGGUACGGGCAGACUAGAGUGAUGUAGGGGAGACUGGAAUUCCUGGUGUAGCGGUGAAAUGCGCAGAUAUCAGGAGGAACACCGAUGGCGAAGGCAGGUCUCUGGGCAUUAACUGACGCUGAGGAGCGAAAGCAUGGGGAGCGAACAGGAUUAGAUACCCUGGUAGUCCAUGCCGUAAACGUUGGGCACUAGAUGUGGGGGACAUUCCACGUUUUCCGCGUCGUAGCUAACGCAUUAAGUGCCCCGCCUGGGGAGUACGGCCGCAAGGCUAAAACUCAAA
rnacentral:rRNA from 1 species